rnacentral:tRNA from 1 species
GAUAAAAUGGCUGAGUUUAGGUAAUAGAUUGUAAAUUUAUUUAGGGGAUUAAAUCUCUUUUAUCA